rnacentral:rRNA from 1 species
UAUGGGCGCGAGCCUGAACCAGCCNAGUAGCGUGAAGGAUGAAGGCUCUUUCNNGUCGUAAACUUCUUUUAUAUGGGAAUAAAGUUUUCCACGUGNGGAAUUUUGUAUGUACCAUAUGAAUAAGGAUCGGCUAACUCCGUGCCAGCAGCCGCGGUAAUACGGAGGAUCCGAGCGUUAUCCGGAUUUAUUGGGUUUAAAGGGAGCGUAGGUGGAUUGUUAAGUCAGUUGUGAAAGUUUGCGGCUCAACCGUAAAAUUGCAGUUGAAACUGGCAGUCUUGAGUACAGUAGAGGUGGGCGGAAUUCGUGGUGUAGCGGUGAAAUGCUUAGAUAUCACGAAGAACUCCGAUUGCGAAGGCAGCUCACUAGACUGUUACUGACACUGAUGCUCGAAAGUGUGGGUAUCAAACAGGAUUAGAUACCCUGGUAGUCCAAGGGCGAAUUC